rnacentral:lncRNA from 1 species
UACUUUUGUGGAUUUUCUCUGGAAGUUUGUGUUGAGUUGGCAUGGAAUCAUUAUGUCGUACUUGGGAAUGAUCAAAUUUUGGCUUUCAUCUGUUGUAGCUGGCAUUUACGCCAUUUCCCCCCAGCUUAUGAUCAGUGGGCUGGAUAUUGUAAUUUGGUUGAAUAGAACCUAUUUUUGAUGAACACCAAUUGAUUUAGUUGUCAUGCAAUCUUGAUUUGGUUGAGUAGAACCUAUUUUUGAUGAACACCAAUUGAUUUAGUUGGCAUGCAAUCUUGACCACAGACGAAGCAGUGCACCAUAAACAUUUAUAGUGUUAAGCAAAAAUGACAUGUAAGGCAAUACUGUUCUUUUGGGCUAAAGGAUUAGUGUCAAAUUCAUUCUGUCUCCCUAAAAUCUGUGAUUUGGCUAAAGAUACCUGAACCUUUAUUUACUGUAAAAUUCUGUAAAAUAUGGGUGGUUGAUGUAAUUUUCAUGUAGCACGGGGCAGCUGUGUUGUAUUGAAUUUCAGCAGGACUUAGUAACUCCUAUUGAUUUGAAAUUUUGUGACGUUGUACUUCCAGGUG